rnacentral:rRNA from 1 species
CGGACGGGUGAGUAAUGCUUGGGAAUCUGGCUUAUGGAGGGGGAUAACUGUGGGAAACUGCAGCUAAUACCGCGUAUUCUCUGAGGAGGAAAGGGUGGGACCUUAGGGCCACCUGCCAUAAGAUGAGCCCAAGUGGGAUUAGGUAGUUGGUGGGGUAAAGGCCUACCAAGCCUGCGAUCUCUAGCUGGUCUGAGAGGAUGACCAGCCACACUGGAACUGAGACACGGUCCAGACUCCUACGGGAGGCAGCAGUGGGGAAUAUUGCGCAAUGGGGGGAACCCUGACGCAGCCAUGCCGCGUGAAUGAAGAAGGCCUUCGGGUUGUAAAGUUCUUUCGGUAAUGAGGAAGGGAUGUUGUUAAAUAGAUAGCAUCAUUGACGUUAAUUACAGAAGAAGCACCGGCUAACUCCGUGCCAGCAGCCGCGGUAAUACGGAGGGUGCGAGCGUUAAUCGGAAUAACUGGGCGUAAAGGGCACGCAGGCGGACUUUUAAGUGAGAUGUGAAAUCCCCGAGCUUAACUUGGGAACUGCAUUUCAGACUGGGAGUCUAGAGUACUUUAGGGAGGGGUAGAAUUCCACGUGUAGCGGUGAAAUGCGUAGAGAUGUGGAGGAAUACCGAAGGCGAAGGCAGCCCCUUGGGAAUGUACUGACGCUCAUGUGCGAAAGCGUGGGGAGCAAACAGGAUUAGAUACCCUGGUAGUCCACGCU